rnacentral:rRNA from 1 species
GACGAACCGAGCGAACGUUGUUCGGAACCACUGGGCUUAAAGGACGCGUAGGCGGGCUAUCAAGUCCGGGGUGAAAUCCUCCAGCUUAACUGGAGAACGGCCCCGGAUACUGAUGGUCUCGAGGAAGAUAGGGGCACGCGGAACUGUGGGUGGAGCGGUGAAAUGCGUUGAUAUCCAUAGGAACUCCGGUGGCGAAGGCGGCGUGCUGGAUCUUUUCUGACGCUGAGGCGCGAAAGCCAGGGGAGCAAACGGG